UUCGGACACAAUUCCCAACAAGUCAACAACGGCAGCUGCUAUUGACGCAGAACUCCUAUCUUCAGUCCUGAAGAGGUUGGGCGAGCUUGAAGAGAAAGUUACCAGUCUUCAAGAAAAGCCAUCUGAGAUGCCCUAUGAGAAAGAGGAACUGCUAUAUGCUGCUGUUUACCGAGUUGAUGCACUAGAAGCAGAGUUAAUUGCCACCAAGAAGGCUCUGCACGAGGCUUUGAUGAAGCAAGAGGAGCUGCUUGCUUAUAUAGACGGUCAAGAAGAUGCUAAAUACCGAAAGAAGAAAUUUUGCUGGUGAGAUAAUGUGUUCGUUCCAUUUGGAGAUUUCAUCGUUGAAUUCAUCUUCUGCUGUAUGACUGUAUCGGAUGCCUAAAUUUAACCAAUAUGGAUCUGAGUUGUAAUCUGACGGCUAGUUUGAUGGUAUAAUAUACUUUAAUUGAGGAAUUUUAUCAAACAUAUAAAGAUACAUCUUGUGGAGAUUCUGUUGAUCCGUGGUUUAGUUUUUUUCGCACAAGGGGUCUUUU